rnacentral:rRNA from 1 species
CCUACGGGAGGCAGCAGUGAGGAAUUUUCUGCAAUGGGCGAAAGCCUGACAGAGCAAUACCGCGUGAGGGAUGAAGACUUACUGAGUUGUAAACCUCGGUGCCUUAAGGAAGAAGAUCUGACGGUACUUAAGGUGGAAAGCAUCGGCUAACUCCGUGCCAGCAGCCGCGGUAAGACGGGGGAUGCAAGUGUUAUCCGGAAUUACUGGGCGUAAAGCGUCUGCAGGUGGUUUUAUAAGUCUGCUGUUAAAUCUUGAGGCUCAACCUCAAAUCUGCAGUGGAAACUAUAAGACUUGAGUAUAGUAGGGGUAGAGGGAAUUUCCAGUGGAGCGGUGAAAUGCGUAGAUAUUGGAAAGAACACCGAUGGCAAGGCACUCUACUGGGCUAUUACUGACACUCAGAGACGAAAGCUAGGGGAGCAAAUGGGAUUAGAUACCCCAGUAGUCCUAGCCGUAAACGAUGGAUACUCGAUGUUGGACGUAUCGACCCGUUCAGUAUCUUAGCUAACGCGUUAAGUAUCCCGCCUGGGGAGUACGCUCGCAAGAGUGAAACUCAAAUGAAUUGACGGCGNGAGAGNGCGACGACGACACGAGGAGAG